rnacentral:rRNA from 1 species
AAGUUAAAAAUUAAUAAAUAAAUGAAAUAAAAAAAAUAAUUUAUAAAUAAAAAAUGUUAAAGUAUAUUUAUAGAAAAGAUUUAAGUAUUUAUAGUUAAUAAGUAAUGUGAAAGAAUUUUGAAAUAAAAAUGAAAAUUUAUUUUUAAAAAAGUAAAUUUAAUUUAUUGUAUCUUGUGUAUCAGAGUUUAUUAAUAAAAAAUUUUAUUUAAAAAUUUCUCGAAUUAAAAAGAGUUAUUAAAUUAUAAAAUUUAUUGUUUCAUAAAUAUUUUAAAUAAUUUAAUUGAAAUGAAAUGUUAUUCGUUUUUUAAGAUAUCUAGUUUUUUUAGAAAAAAAUUUAAUUUUAAAUUUUAAAAAUUAAAUAAUUUUUUUUUAUAAAAAUAAUUAAUUUAAUUUAAUAUUUUUAUAUUUUAAGGGAUAAGCUUUAAAAUAAAUUUUUAUAAAAUACUUAUUUUAAUUAAAAAUUUUAUAAUUUAUAUUGUUAAUAAAUUUUAAUUUAUUAUAAAUAAUUUUAUUAAAAUAAAAAUUUAAUGUUUAUUUUUAAUUUUUUAUAAAAAUUAAAAAAUUAAUAAAAUAUUUUUAGAAAUAAUGAUAAAAUUAGUAUAUAAUAGUUAAUUAAAAAAUAUAUUAAUUAUUUUUAAUUAAUUAAAAAGAAUUCGGCAAAUUUUAAUUAUUUAUAUUCACCUGUUUAUCAAAAACAUGUCUUUUUGUUAAUAAUUUAAAGUCUAAUCUGCCCACUGAUUUAAUUAAAGGGCUGCAGUAUUUUGACUGUACAAAGGUAGCAUAAUCAUUAGUCUCUUAAUUGGUGACUUGUAUGAAUGAUUGGAUGAAAUAUAAACUGUUUCUUAAUUAAUUAUAAAAUUUAAUUUUUUUAUUAAAAAGUAAAAAUAAAUUUAAAAGACGAGAAGACCCCAUAGAGUUUUAUAAAAUUAAUAAUUAUUAAAUAUUUUUUAGUAUUUUAAUUAAGAUUUUUAUUUUUUAUUUUGUUGGGGUGAUAAAAAAAUUUAAAAAACUUUUUUUUAUGUUUUCCAUAGAUAAGUGAGUUUUUGAUCCAUUAUUAUUGAUUAAAAGAAAAAAUUACCUUGGGGAUAACAGCGUAAUUUUUUUUUCUAGUUCUUAUAGAAAAAAGAGUUUGCGACCUCGAUGUUGGAUUAAGAUAAAAUUUAAAUGCAAAAGUUUAAAAUUUUGAUCUGUUCGAUCAUUAAAAUCUUACAUGAUCUGAGUUCAAACCGGUGUAAGCCAGGUUGGUUUCUAUCUUUAAAAAAAAAUAAGUAUUUUAGUACGAAAGGAUCAAAUUCUUAAAAUAAUUUUUAAAUAAAAUGAAUUUUAUUAAAUUAAUUUUAAAUAAAAAAUUUAUUAAAAAAAAAUAAUUAAAAUA